CACCUGUAGAAGGCACUUACCAUGAAUUGAACUUGCAGGCUUGGAAAUAUCUCUGGGUUCUGCUUGAAUUCUUGCCCUGGCUCUUGGUGAAGGAUCGGCCUGCUGGAUCUGAGUCAUCCACCUAUAAGAGGGACAACACCACACAUUGGUCGCUGCUCUCAAGCCCCUGGAAUACCACCCCACUUGGCUUCUCCUGGUAACAGUGGCUGCCUUUGCUUGCCUGUCUCCAACUCCUCCCAAGAGCAUUGCUGACUAGAUGGGCUCUCACUAUAGCCCUGUUCUGGAACUCCUGGGCUCAAGCCAUCCUCCCACUUUGGCCUCCCCAAAAUGCUGGGAUUACAGGCGUGAACCACCGCAUCUAGCCUAAAAUUAUAUUGUUAAAAGACUUUGUUUCUCAGUUUGGGAUAAUCAGAAUUCAUAGUUCUGAUCUCGACUACCAGUUUUAAUGAGGUACUUCUUUCUAACUCCAUCAGCUGUGUGGCUAUCUGCAGGGAGCCAGCUGCCAUGUCAUGCAGACACUCAAGCAGCCCUAUGGAGAAGCCACAUGGAGAGGGGCUGAGGCCUGUUUCCCACAGCCAUGUGAGUGGGCCAUUCCGGAAGCAGAUCAUCCAGCCCUCGCCAAGCUGACAGACGACUGCAUCCCCAGCCAACAUCUAGACUGGAGCCUCACGAGAGACCAACCCGGAGACCCCACCCAGCUAAGCCACUCCAGAAUCCCUGACCCCAAACAUUGUGACAUGAUAAAAAUGUGUUGU
rnacentral:lncRNA from 1 species